rnacentral:rRNA from 1 species
AGGACGAACGCUGGCGGCGUGCCUAACACAUGCAAGUCGAGCGAGGAGAUCCUUCGGGAUGAUCCUAGCGGCGGACGGGUGAGUAACACGUGGGCAACCUGCCUCAUAGAGAGGAAUAGCCUUCCGAAAGGGAGAUUAAUACCUCAUAACAUUGCAGUUUCGCAUGGAACAGCAAUUAAAGGAGUAAUCCGCUAUGAGAUGGGCCCGCGGCGCAUUAGCUAGUUGGUGAGGUAACGGCUCACCAAGGCGACGAUGCGUAGCCGACCUGAGAGGGUGAUCGGCCACAUUGGGACUGAGACACGGCCCAGACUCCUACGGGAGGCAGCAGUGGGGAAUAUUGCACAAUGGGGGAAACCCUGAUGCCAGCAACGCCGCGUGAGUGAUGACGGCCUUCGGGUUGUAAAGCUCUGUCUUUAGGGACGAUAAUGACGGUACCUAAGGAGGAAGCCACGGCUAACUACGUGCCAGCAGCUGC